GUGACUGAAAAUGUGUUGGAGCUCUUAAUUUUGGAUUUCCAAAGUGGGAACCACUGUAGUCUUAGCGCUAGUUUGAUAAACCGUUUGUAAGCUUUAUAAACACUGAACACGUGCAAGCAUGCUUUAGGCUGAGCUAGAGUGUCCUUGUGUAACUUAGCCACUCUUCUGCUAUUAGUCUUCAAUCAGGCCCAGAAUUCAUUUGAAAAUGUAAGAUCAGCAAAGGCUCGUUGAUUUUCAUGACGAUAAAUGAGAUGGACAUGUGAGCGGAAACACUGACUGAGGUCACAUCCAGAUAAAUAUCAAAGCUUAGUUGUAAGUGUUUUCAGACAUUUUAUGCAUCACUGUUGUGGGUUUUUCAGAGAACCGAUGAAGAAAAUGUUUCUCAGAUUAUUCUUGUUCUGUUUGUGUUUCUGGCGUCUGGAUGGUGAGUUGAGUGAUAUUCUGACACCAGUGUCCGUGAUGGAGGGAGAUUCAUUCACUCUAAACUCUGGUCUUACUGAAAUAACGGAUGAUGGUCUUAUUCUGUGGGUGGGUUUAAGUAAAAACACUUUAAUAGCUGAAAUCAAUAAACGGGCCGACAGCAUCUCUGUAUAUGAUGAUGUUCUUGAUGGGAGAUUCAGAGACCGACUGAAGCUGGAUGAUCAAACUGGAUCUCUGACCAUCAUGAACUUCACAACUAAAGAUACUGGAUUUUAUCAAGUACAAAUCAAUCGUAUGAAGAAGGUUUUCUUUCUCAUUGUCUAUGUGUUUGGUGAUGAAAUAAAGUCAGUGUCAGUGAAGGAGGGAGAUUCAGUCACUCUAAACUCUGGUCUUACUGAAAUAAGAGAAGAUGAUGGUCUGAUUCAGUGGUUGUUUGAAGAUGCUUUAAUAGCUUUAAUCAGCAAAGUGACUAACGUCUACACUGAUAACAAAGGAACAUUCAGCAACAGACUGAAGCUGGAUCAUGAAACUGGAUCUCUGACCAUCACAGACGUCAAAAUGAUACAUUCUGGACGUUAUAAACUUCAGAUCAACAGCGUGGUCAAGAGUUUCAUUCUCACUGUCAAUGGUGGCAUUGCAAAUUCACUGAUGCCAGUGUCAGUGAUGGAGGGAGAUUCAGUCACUCUAAACGCUCGUCUUACCGAAAUACUGACAGAUCACUUGAUUCAGUGGAGAUUUGGAAAUAUAAACACCAUAAUAGCUGAUGUAUUGCUUGGCAGAUUCUCUGUGUAUGAUGAUGUUCCUGAUGGGAGAUUCAGAAACAGACUGAAGCUGGAUGAUCAAACUGGAUCUCUGACCAUCACAGACACCAGAACUGAACAUGCUGGAGAAUAUGAACUACAUGUCACACGUAUGAUGAUGAUGUUCACUCUUAAAGUCUAUGGUGUUACAGAUGCAGUGAAGUCAGUGUCAGUGCUGGAAGGGGAUUCAGUCACUCUAAACUCUGAUCUUACUGAAUUAGAUGAUGAUGUGUUUCAGUGGGUGUUCAUUAACUCUUUAAUAGCUCAUUUCAAUGUAAAGGCUGACCACAUUACUAUUUUUGAUUAUAAUGAUGGGAGAUUCAGAGACAGACUGAAGCUGGACAAAAAAACUGGAUCUCUGACCCUCGCAGACAUCAGAAUUGCACACUCUGGACUUUAUGAACUGCAGACCUACAGCGAGGCCAAAUACUCGAAAUUCAGUCUUACAGUCUAUGCUAGUCCACCUGUACCUGUCAUUAGCAGAGACUGUUCUUCAUCAUCAGUAUCGUCAAAGACCAAAUGUUCAUUUCUGUGCUCAAUGGUGAAUGUGGGUCAUGUGACUCUCUCCUGGUACAAAGAAAACUGUUUAUUGUCCAGCAUCAGUGUGUCUGAUCUCAGCAUCAGUCUCUCUCUUCCUCUGGAGGUGGAAUAUCAGGAUAAAAACAGCUACAGCUGUGUGAUCAACAAUCCCAUCAGAAACCAGACUCAACAUCUGAACAUCACUCAACUCUGUCAACCAUGUUCAGACUCAGAACACUGUUGUGGUUCUACUGAAGCUGUGUUCCGAUUGGUCGUAACUGCUCUGGUGGGCGUGGCUGCUGUGGCUGCUGUUGUUCUUCUGGUUUAUGACAUCAGAUCCAGAAGAGCUGAACAAUAUUGAGCACAUUUUCUCACAUAAGAAACCUAGAUCAUGAUGUAAUUUCUAAUAUUACCAUUUUAAUCAUUUAUUAAUCUUAAAUGACUUUUUAUAUUAAUCUGCUGGUAUUGAUUGACUGCUCAUUUCCCCAUUAGAAGAUGAUUUAAGAACAAACAGCAACACAUUCUCACAUUAACGCUCAAAAUAUUGAUAAAUACUGAAAAUUACCAAGAUUGCUUUGCUCACAAUUAAUAUAACAUGCUUUUUUAUAUUUACAAUUGAUUCUCUCAUAUUUGAUAAGGCAGUGAUGCUCCUCUACUGGCUGAACACAUGAAAGCACAUGAAAACAUAUCUCUCUUUGCCAUUUGCAGGGCUCCAGUGUCCUGUUCUCACGAACACAGUGUUCCUAGAAGCUUCCAGCUCUCAUUCCUCUGGUCUCUGCUGUCGAAUGAGCUAAACUGAUGAACGUUACUCAUCUGCUCUGUCUCAUCUGCUUCAACCUCUCAUUCUCUCACUCGGGUGCCGGCAUUCCUCGACCCUACGAGCUAAACUGUGGAAUGUUACUCAUCUGCAGAAGAAGGACGUCUCCCUGCGCCCCUGUAUUGAUUACAGAGUUUUGAAUGACAUUACAAUAAAGAACAGGUACCCCCUACCUUUAAUGUCUUCUGCUUUUGAAUUGUUGCAGGGAGCUCGGGUCUUCAACAAGUUAGACGUGCACAACGCCUACCACUUGGUGCGCAUUCGGGUGGGGGAUGAGUGGAAGACUGUGUUUAACACCCCUUUGACACACUACGAGUACUUGGUUCUUCCGUUUGGUGUUACCAAUGCUCCAGCCGUUUUCCAGGGACUCGUCAACAGCGUGUUGGGUGACAUAAUUAAUCAAUUUGUCUUUGUGUAUUUGGAUGGUAUCUUGAUUUUCUCCCCCUCUCUCCAAUUACACACCCAGCAUGUCAGACGGGUUCUCCACCGGUUGCUAGAAAACAAGUUGUCAAGGCAAAAAAUUGCAAAUUCCACGCUGAGUCUGUUACAUUCCUUGGCCACAUUAUUUUUACAGGAGGGAUCAAGCCUGAUCCCGCUAAGAUAGAUGCUGUUGCCCAGUGACCGGUCCCUGAUUCCCGUAAGGCUCUGCAGCGUUUCCUGGGUUUUGCCAACUUCUACCGGCAAUACAUCAGGAAUUUUGGUCAGAUUGCUGCACCGCUCACAGCCUUAACCUCCACUAAGGUGUCCUUCAGAUGGAACCGGGAGGCGCAUGUAGCCUUUGACAUUUUAAAGUCCCGUUUUGUCUCUGCACCUGUUCUGUUGGUACCAGAUCCUGAGGCCCAGUUCAUUGUCGAGGUUGAUGCUUCGGACGUUGGGGUUGGCGCAGUUCUAUAUCAGCUUUCCCUCUGUGACGGGAAGGUCCACCCGUGUGCGUUCUUCUCUCAUCGUCUCAGCCCUGCAGAACGUAACUACGACAUCGGCAAUAGAGAGCUAAUGGUGGAACGAUUGGCCUUGGGUGAGUGGCGUCACUGGUUGGAGGGGUCGGUGCAGCCCCUCUUGGUCUGGACGGAUCACAAGAACCUGGAAUACAUCUGUUCGGCCAAGAGGCUGGGCACUCUUCUUUGCCAGAUUCAACUUCACCCUCUUGUACCGGCCGGGAUCUAAGAACACCAAAUACGAUGCCCUCUCUCGCCUGUUCGAGGCCCGAGGGAGGGAGUUUGUGGCCGAGGCCAUCCUUCCUGAGGGGGUGGUGGUCGAGGCUCUUUAGUGGGGUAUCGAGCAUCGGGUAGAGGAUGCCGGUCGAGGGGUGCAGGUGCCAGGAGAGUGCCCAGCGAGUAGGUUGCCGGUGCCGGCUGCGCUGUGCUCUGAGGUCCUUGAGUGGGGUCACGCAUCCAGGUUAGUCUGCCAUCCAAGUAUUCAGAGAAUGUUGUCUACCAUCCGACAACGCUUCUGGUGGCCUGCUAUGGCCGCAGAUGUUAGACCGUUUGUGUUGGCCUGCCCCACAUCUGCCCAAUGUAAGCCUGUCAAUCGCCCUCCUGAUGGUCUACUUAAACCUCUCCCUAUGCCUAUCCCUUCCCGCCCUUGGUCACACAUCGCCCUUGAUUUUUUCCUCUGGGCUUCCACUGUUGAAGGGUAACACUGUGAUUCUCACGGUGGUGGAUCGCUUUUCCAAAGCAGUUAAUUUCAUCCCCCUGCCCAAGCUGCCCUCCGCCUGGGAGACCGCCCAACUGGUGGUGGAUCAAGUCUUCCGUCUCCAUGGGUUGCCGGUGGAUGUGGUUUCAGAUAGGGGUCCCCAGUAUGUCUCCCGGUACUGGAGGGAAUUUUGUAGACAGAUUGGGGCCUCUGCGAGUCUGUCUUCAGGUUUUCAUCCCCAGACCAAUGGGCAGUGUG